rnacentral:lncRNA from 1 species
CUUUUCUGGACCAGCACCUCAUGAGUUCACCUUGCUACCAUCGAGGAAAUCCAGAACAACUACUCAAGGACAUGUCUGAAUGAGUCACUGAACCAUGGCUCUGUGAGGUCAAAGAUAGUGAGACAAAAAGGAAUUGCUCAAAUACUGAGAUGCAUGUCAACUCUUCCAACAACCUCCAGAAUUUACUGAGCCUGUAACACAGCUUUUGUAAUCCUUUUCUGUGAAAUCCAGUACUGUGUCAGCUUCGUUAGGGUCUAAAGUGUACCUUUCAUAAAGGACCUCAAGAUUUAUUUUCCUGAGCUUUAAAUGAGUGAAAAUGUGUUUUGUUGAAACUUCCCAAGAAGUAACUGCAUUUUCUAUGGAAUCUUCCAUUGUUUAUGGGCCUGAUGAAAGCAUUUGGCACUUAAUGAUUCCCAGACUAUUUCAACUUUAUAAAAAAUCAAGAAAAAGAAAAAAAAGGUGAAAAGUAAAUGUUUUGAAUGCUAACAAUAAAAUAUGUGGAU